GUGCUUGAAAUCGACGUAGUGGACCCUGGCUAGCAUAUUUUUCCCUGCCAAGAUUAUUGCAAAAAGACGAUGUGGUGGUUAAUAUCGGAAAGAAUGUGUGGUUAAUAUCAGGAAGAACACGUGAAAUGGAGAAUUUCAGGGCUAACAUUUCUUGUUUUGUUUCUGAAAACAUCGGCAUGUCCUAAAAAGUGUCGCCUGUGCCCAUCAUCUCUCAGGCUUGGGAGCAGGACACCGCCGGCUCACUUUAAAGCCAAGGGAAAGAAUUUGGACAACCAACUACGUCUGGAGAAGACACCAAUGUCAGCAGAGCUCCGCUUUCAUCUGUGGGCGAAGGAUUACCUAGAUGCCAAGCUACCUAAAAGGGAAGCGCCCCCUGUCCUAUGAUCACGUGACUUGCUUCACCUUGUCAAUCACUUG
rnacentral:lncRNA from 1 species